rnacentral:misc_RNA from 1 species
GUGGUUGUUGUUCUCCUGCAUUUGAGGUCAAUUGUCAAAUUGUCCUUGCGGACGAUUGGAGAGCUGGACUCUAUUCAUGCGUGCUAUUGAUGAGUGAUAAUUAUCACAUCAUGCGCAGAGGCAAUGAGAAGUCCUGCUAAUGCAUUUAAGAGGAGCCGACCUGUCAAGGCCAGCAGCCCCCAACAAUCCAAACAUCACAAUUGGAAAAAAACCAAAGUGAGUUUGAGAAUUUAAUGACACUCAAACAGGCAUGCCCCUCGGAAUACCAAGGGGCGCAAGGUGCGUUCAAAGAUUCGAUGAUUCACUGAAUUCUGCAAUUCACAUUACUUAUCGCAUUUCGCUGCGUUCUUCAUCGAUGCGAGAGCCAAGAGAUCCGUUGUUGAAAGUUGUAUUAUGGUUUAUAGGCACAAGGCCCAUUAAAUGACAUUCGUAGACAUACAUUUGGGGUGUGUAAAUAAAAAAAACGGUGAUGCCCCCCCAAAACUUUAAAUUCCCACCACACCAUCUGAGAACACUUGAAACAACAUCUCACAUAUCUCUCAAAAUCUCACGGGGGGGAGAGACACGAGAGAAGCGUGCAUGUCCCUCGAGAGCCCAAACACAUCUCCAUAGAAAACUUAAUAGUGACCUUCGCACGUGCUCCUCCGGAGACACUGUGCAUCUUUUUUCCCCCCCUCCA